GCGCCCCUCCGCAGCGCCGUCACCCGCGCCGUGCACCUCGUGUGCCGCAUGGCGCCGCCCAUGGACCACGUGCAGCAGUGAGUAGCUAACAUCCGCCCCGCCCUCCCCGCGCCCCUCCGCAGCGCCGUCACCCGCGCCGUGCACCUCGUGUGCCGCAUGGCGCCGCCCAUGGACCACGUGCAGCAGUAAACGUCUCAUACGUAUGGUCAGUUAAGGUGAACAGAAAACUUUCUACAUCACUGUCGUUCUUUAUAUCGAAACUGCGCAUGUGUGCGUGUCUACACGUGUGUGUGUGUUCGUGAAUGUCUUCAGUUGCGAGUUACUUGACCAACACUUGUUCACCGCCACUUUUACAUAAUAUAAACAGGACGAAAAAAAACACUAAAAACAUUAUGUACAAAACGGCCACAUACUAUUACGUAUGUAUAUAAAAAAGUAUUUUUAACUUUUGUACAUUUUCAAAAUCUAAUUUAUAAAGUUACCUGUUUAUGAACUUUGAAAGAAAAAGUUAUUGUAUUCCGAACUCUCAGUAAUAUUAUUUGUCGAAAAACCACGCUGUGAAGGUCAACAUCCACUUGAAGGCGAUCAAAAAACACCGUCCACGCGGACUUAAUGUAAGAACAAACUAUCCAAACCAUUGCAGUACAAAAUCCCAUAUCCAGAUAUUUAGUUAUGGCAACACCGAGACGAGAGUGAGACAGCGUCAUAUCUCAAGUAAGACCUUUCAAGACUGCCAUUACUAAAUAAUCCAUCCGUACAAUGUAUUCCAAUGCAUUUCAUUUUGGUUGUUAAACUCAGUAUAAUUAUAUUGUAACGUAGGGGAUGUACUUUAUGUAUUUAAGUUUAAUUUCUAUUUAAUGUCGGUCCAAUUUUAUUUAAGACAUAAAGAAUGUUGAAUGUUUAUGUUAGACUGAUAAGUGAUUUCUUAUUCAAUGUAAGUUUUUAUGGUAAAGCGGAAUUGUCUGUCAGUAUUUUAUUUCGUCACAAUGGAAAUUGUCGUUGAGCGAGAAUACUAGAAGAGCCAUCUCUAAAAUGUAUCAAGUAUUUCUUUAAGGGCUGAUUUUUCAAUCAUCAGUUAACUUCUAUCUGAGGAAUAAAUAUGGCGGUUUGACAUAUUUUCCAUACAAAAGCUGUCAAAACGUCAAACAUAUUCCUCAGAUAACAGUUAUCCGGCGAUUGAAAAAUCAGCCCUAAAAUGAAUUUAUUUAUAUUGUUCUACUGGCCCUUCUAGUCGAAUAGUUCUAUGAUGGAUUCGACAUUCCAUUUGUGUCUAAUAUCAUAAUAAUUAUUAUUCCAAUCAUGGUUUCCAUUCUCAUUAUUAUUUAAAAUCCAUAAUUUCUAAGCGAGCACAUAUCUCUUUGGAAUUGAUGUAAAACUGCAAUUAAAUAUAAAUAAAAGUGACCUGUCACAUGUUAUUUUUGUGAAUCGUGUAUUCCAUAUUAAUUUGUUUAUGUUGUGUAUCGCCAGCGACAUUUUUGUAUUAGCAAUAAUUAUAAUGCACUUGGUUUGGGGUGAAUGUAGUCAGGUUUUUAAAUAAAUGUUGGUAUAAACGGUAA